GAUGAAGAACGUAGUGAAAUGCGAUAAGUAAUGUGAAUUGCAGAAUUCAGUGAAUCAUCGAAUCUUUGAACGCACAUUGCGCCCGCCAGUAUUCUGGCGGGCAUGCCUGUCCGAGCGUCAUUUCAACCCUCGCGCCCAUCUGGGCUGCGGUGUUGGGGACCGGCCUGCCCCCCCGGGGCGCGCCGCCCCCCAAAUUCAGUGGCGGUCUCGCUGCAGCCUCCCUUGCGUAGUAGCACACCUCGCACCGGAGCGCAGCGCGGCCACGCCGUAAAACCCCCGACCCCCAUGAGUUUGACCUCGGAUCAGGUAGGAAUACCCGCUGAACUUAAGCAUAUCAAUAAGCGGAGGA
rnacentral:misc_RNA from 1 species